UACGUAGGGCGCAAGCGUUGUCCGGAAUUAUUGGGCGUAAAGAGCGUGUAGGCGGCCAGGUAGGUGGGUUGUGAAAACUGGAGGCUCAACCUUCAGACGUCGACCCAAACCCCCUGGCUAGAGUCCGGAAGAGGAGAGUGGAAUUCCUGGUGUAGCGGUGAAAUGCGCAGAUAUCAGGAAGAACACCAACGGCGAAGGCAGCUCGCUGGGACGGUACUGACGCUGAGACGCGAAAGCGUGGGGAGCGAACAGG
rnacentral:rRNA from 1 species